rnacentral:misc_RNA from 1 species
CCAUAGACUCUUAUUACUUUGACCAUAUUUUUAUCUUCCAUCUCUAUUUUGCCAAUUCGUUUAUGCAACAUAAAAUAAUAUAUAUCUUUUGUUCAAUCCAUGUCAAUAUCUAUUUUAUUUUUUACAUUAUUUGAAUAAAACAUUCAAAAACAUGAACAUUAAAAAAAUAUAAAAAAUAAAUUUAAGGUUUAAAGUACAAAAUAAAAACCCUGGCAAUAACCUACUCUC